UACAGGGGGGGCAAGCGUUGUUCGGAUUUAUUGGGCGUAAAGAGCGUGUAGGCGGCCAAGCAGGUCCGCUGUGAAAACUCGAGGCUCAACCUCGAGACGUCGGUUGAAACCGUAUGGCUAGAGUCCGGAAGAGGAGAGUGGAAUUCCCGGUGUAGCGGUGAAAUGCGCAGAUAUCGGGAAGAACACCCGUGGCGAAGGCGGCUCUCUGGGACGGUACUGACGCUGAGACGCGAAAGCGUGGGGAGCGAACAGG
rnacentral:rRNA from 1 species